GAUCUGACCGCUGGACUGUCAUUGGAGUAGAUUUGCAGGAUAAUUCACAAGACCUGGCUGGACUGGAUAGGAAGCUCCAAUGAAACGGUACCACUGGACAGUAUUACCUCAGGGGAUGAAAGCCAGCCCCUUCAUCUGCCAGUGAAAUAACCUACCUCUUACUCAAAUCCAUGAUGAGCCUUAACCCUGCUGUCAUCCUGCUCACACUGAGCAGCCUGACAGCGGCCUGGAUCGUCCCA